UACGAAGGGGGCUAGCGUUGCUCGGAAUCACUGGGCGUAAAGGGCGCGUAGGCGGCGUUUUAAGUCGGGGGUGAAAUCCCGGGGCUCAACCCCGGAACGGCCUUUGAUACUGGGUGUCUUGAGUUCGGAAGAGGUGAGUGGAAUUGCGAGUGUAGAGGUGAAAUUCGUAGAUAUUCGCAGGAACACCAGUGGCGAAGGCGGCUCACUGGUCCGAUACUGACGCUGAGGUGCGAAAGCGUGGGGAGCAAACAGG
rnacentral:rRNA from 1 species